rnacentral:misc_RNA from 1 species
GGUGGAGUAGCAGGUGUCCAGCGUGGGUUUUGAACUCCCUCAGUAUCACUGUCAAAUUUCUGUGCAGCAAGGUAAGAUAAGGCUGUGACAACGUCUGCUAUGACUGGACGCAUGUUAGGUUGUUCCUGAACACACAUUGCUGCAACUGCUAGAGCUUGGUACAUGCCUCUUACUGGAUAAUGGCCUUGUAGCAUUGGAUCAGCCAUCUGUGAGAACUUCCUCCGAUCUUUGAACAAUGGUCUUGCCCAUAUAACCAGAUUGAAAUCUCCUCCAGUUUUUGAACUUUCAAUUGCUUUCCUGCCUGUAAUAAUCUCCAGGAGGACUACCCCAAAGCUGUAAACAUCUGACUUCAAAGUCAAUUGUCCUGUCAUGGCAUACUCUGGUGCACAGUACCCAUAAGUACCCAUAACUCUUGUAGAAACAUGGGUGUUAUCCCCUACAGGCCCCAAUUUGGCCAACCCGAAGUCAGAGAGCUUCGCAUGAUAACC